rnacentral:rRNA from 2 species
UGCGUAGGUGGUUGUUUAAGUCUGUCGUGAAAGCCCUGGGCUCAACCUGGGAACUGCGAUGGAAACUGGGCGACUAGAGUGUGGUAGAGGGUAGCGGAAUUCCUGGUGUAGCAGUGAAAUGCGUAGAUAUCAGGAGGAACAUCCAUGGCGAAGGCAGCUACCUGGGCCAACACUGACACUGAGGCACGAAAGCGUGGGGAGCAAACA